UACGUAGGUGGCAAGCGUUGUCCGGAAUUACUGGGUGUAGAGGGAGCGCAGGCGGGAAGCCAAGUCAGCUGUGAAAACUACGGGCUUAACUUGUAGACUGCAGUUGAAACUGGUUUUCUUGAGUGAAGUAGAGGUUGGCGGAAUUCCGAGUGUAGCGGUGAAAUGCGUAGAUAUUCGGAGGAACACCGGUGGCGAAGGCGGCCAACUGGGCUUUAACUGACGCUGAGGCUCGAAAGUGUGGGGAGCAAACAGG
rnacentral:rRNA from 1 species